GUCAAGAAAUACUAGGUACGGAAAUUAGACGUCAGAGCCUGGAUAUGGAAAGCGUCCCUGGCAACAGUUAAAUCUAAAAUAAAAAAGGUCUAAUACAAUAUGGCUGGAAUGGUUUUAUGUGAGCCAACAGAGCUGUACAAUAUUCUAAACCAGUACACAACACUUACCAGGCUAGCGGAUCCCACUUAUCUGUGCUUACUUGAUGCACGUAUAAAGGAAGAAUACGAACGAGAUCAUAUCAUUACAGCUCAAAGAUCUAAAAAGGCAAGCAUUUCUUUUUAUUUUAGCUUGUUGUAUACUGACAUUACGGGCAAAGCCAGAUAGGAGACGACGCCUACAUGCAUUCUG